rnacentral:rRNA from 1 species
AUCUCUGUAGAGUCUGCAUAUCAAUAAGCGGAGGAAAAGAAACUAACUAGGAUUCCCUUAGUAACGGCGAGUGAAGCGGGAAGAGCUCAAAUUUGAAAUCUUCAAGGUUCUACCUUGACGAAUCGUAGUUUAAAGAAGUGUUUUCUGUUGGAGUUUUGGUAAAAGUUCUUUGGAAUAGGACAUCAUAGAGGGUGAGAAUCCCGUAUUUGACCAUUUCUUCCAGCUGUGUGAUACACUUUCAAAGAGUCGGAUUGUUUGGGAAUGCAGUCCAAAAUGGGUGGUAAAUUUCAUCUAAAGCUAAAUAUUGGCGAGAGACCGAUAGCGAACAAGUACCGUGAGGGAAAGAUGAAAAGAACUUUGAAAAGAGAGUUAAACAGUACGUGAAGUUGUCAAAAGGGAAGCGUUUGACACCAGUGUUGUUUUCUCGAAAAUCAAUUAAAAAUGGCCGGAUUUUGUGUUGUAUUGACUUUAUCAGCUUUCUGCACUUUUUUCUUGUCUUUUUUAAUGCACUUUUCGUUUAACAAGUCAACAUCAAUUUCUUUUGUUGUAAAAGAGUCAUUGGAAGGUGGCUUUCACUUCGGUGAAAGUGUUUAUAGCCUUUGACUUCUGCAAUCGGAGAGAUUGAGGUCUGCAGCGUAGAUCCUUCGGGGUUAGAUACAUUUGUGCUAAGUUAUAGUUUUUCAUAGACAACAUGUUGACUAUGAUUAAUCAUGUAGCUUACUCGCUUAUGCUAUUUUACCUACGCUUAGGAUGUUGAAUCUGUGCGAGACUAC